UGGAAAAACUGAUAGAAAGAUGGCAAUAUGCUAGCUAUGGAGGGUAGGGGUUAUGGCUGCUCUUCGGGAUUCUGUUUAUUUUCAGGCCUUUUCUAAAUAUCGUCAAGCUCGGCUCCUCAGAAGUCCAUGCCUGUACCGGCUUCAGAAAACGAGUGCGGGUGCAGGCUCCUGCUGUGUGGAUAGACACUCGGUCAAGACAGUGCUAGAAGCUACCUCAAACGGUAUCCCGGUGCCACUGCAUACUGGCCUAGAAGGAUGAAGCAAAGUUUAGAACAGAUUAACUGGCUGAUGAUUGGCAAGCUCUCAGCUUGGUGGAGAAAAGAAACAGGAUGUUCGAGCAAUCAUCUCCCCGGACUGAGGAGAAUCUGCUCCAGGUGGUUCGGGCACUGCGUGCAGAGACAGGUUGCACUUGGCUGAAGAUUGAUCGGGACUUCCUCACAGAGGUGGAGGGUUCCCUAUGUCACUGGCAGUCUGGGGCCAGCCACUGUGUCCCUGCAGUGGUUUUUAAUGUUUACAAACUUCAGGGACAGCUGGGUUGUUGCUUGGAGUCCUG
ensembl:lncRNA